GAACGCACCUUGCACCCAUUGGUAUUCCAAAGGGUAUGCUCGUUUGAGUGUCAUUUCACCUCUCAAGCCUGGCUUGGUGUUGGGCGACGUCCCCUUUGGGGACGCGCCUCGAAACGCUCGGCGGCGUGGCACCGGCUUUAAGCGUAGCAGAAUCUUUCGCUUUGGAAGUCGGGGCCCCGUCUGCCGGAAGACCUACUCGCAAGGUUGACCUCGGAUCAGGCAGGGAUACCCGCUGAACUUAAG
rnacentral:misc_RNA from 1 species